AUGAGAAGUGACAAGUACAAGGGCAUCCUUGGUGUUGUCCUAGGGCCUUGCACUUUGGAAGCUGAUGGGGAAGUGAGCCUGGCAAGCAAUGAGACAGGAUGGGUACUUGCUUUCAGAAACAAGUGCGUCAGUCUAGAGAGGAUGGGAUUGCCUCAUGCUGCAGUCUUGGGGGGCUCAUUUCGACAGAACAUCUGCAACGUGGGCUUGUUAAUGAACCUGCAGUGUGAUGGCAGAGCAGUGGAUGUGCAGAUAGACACCUCCUGCCAGCAUGAAUAUACACUCCAAGGGAUGCUCAGGCAUUCACUUCCCUGGCUCAGCCAGCUUGGGCUGCCUUUUGAAAACUCUGUCCUAUUCUCUGCAGCCACAGACUCCACCACAGAGGGCAUUUUCCUGCUGCAGGCUGGCAGAUGCAGACUGAGGGCUAGAGGGGAUUUCUGUGUUCAGAAUAAAGCUGAUUGGACACUGGAAACAGAAACAGAAUGUCAACUUCUACAGGUAGCUCUGGGAAGCUUUUAAAGAGAGUUUGGGGAUCAAAUAAAGGCCUUGUGGGUUUUAGCUAAAAUGCCAGUGCUAGAGUGCUGGGCAGGCAUGUCUCACAGCAUCAGGCAAAGGCAGUGUCUGUUCAUCCUGUUCUCAGGUGCUCUCUGGAGACUGAGAUCAGCUCAGCCUUUGCUGACUGUUGCCUUUGCAGGCCAACACUGCCCUCUAAGGCUGAACAGCAAUAUUAGCUUGAACUCUGUCAAAAAUACAUUCCCUGGUCUGUGAGGAUUAUAUCAAAAUAGAAUUUCCUUGAUUUUUCCAGUUAGCUUCACUGACUACAUUAGAAAAAAUGACUAUUGCAAAAUCAGGGAUUUUUUUUCUAGAUGCUUACAGGCAUUUAUAUUUUGCUUUCAAAUCCUCAAACUGAGUAACUUCGUCAACUGUGAGGUGGCAACAUAAAAGUAAAAAUGACAGGAAAGUUGAAAUGAAGAGGGAAUGAAAACCCCUAAAGUAUUAAAAACAGUAAAAUUUUCAGUGUUUUUAGAAUUCUUUUGACAGAAUAGGAAGAAACCUUUCAUUUGGGAUGUUGCACAAGACAAGAUGGAAACUUAAUUAUUAAAAAAAACCCCCUCCUACAACCAGAUGCAAGAAUGUCUCUUAGGUCUAUGAUUUUUUAUACAUUAAUUUUUUUGAAAACUGAGAUUGAUGUGGUCUGGAUGAAGCAUACAAUGUUUAGUGAACUUUGCCAAUCUGAAGAAACAGGUAUUUUGUAUUUUUGUAAAUGUAAAACUUCGUAAAGAGGGAGAAGUUGUUAAUUCUGCAAGACAGUCCUUAAAUCUUCCAUAAGGUCCUGUUCAGAAAAAAUCACCAUCAUUCUUGUUGAGAGGGAGAAAAAUGGCAGCAUGGAGAUUAUAGGUUUUUGUCUCUGAUAUUGUAUCACAUAGUACACACUUGUCUUAAAGUGUUUGUAUAUUCCAGUGUAUUUUUUGUUUAAAUCUUGAUAGGAUCUCAGUUUCCCAACUCAGUCACGUCUCACAGGAUCCAUUCAGAGAGACAAGUGCCAGGCAGAGCUGCUCUCUGUCCUGGAAACAGAAGGCAAAACUGCCCGUCUUGAAGUGAAAGCAGAGUGCAAGCCAAAGAUGGCUCUGGAAAUUCAGUUCAGGCAUGACCUCCCCCAGCUGAAGGAAAUCCCAAGGGAAAAUGAGCUGUCCAUCACUGUACGGAAACACUUAAAGUAUCUCAUUGGAGUUGGAAUGAAAUUGGGUGCCUGUGAGCUUCAAAUGAAUGGGGACUUUGACCCUGAAAAGAACCUUCAGUGGAAAAUGCUUAUAGAAAACAAAUGCCAAACAAUUCAGGUAUGGAAAAGAAUUUUCUCCUUUAAUGUUGAAUUUAUACAUCUUUGUAGCUGCUGAAGUCAAAAGACAAUAAUCUAAGUAUUUCAAAGAGGUAGCAGAGAAAUAAGAAAAACAUUCUCUUUUAAUGUUGCUUCUUAUUUCUGGAGCCAGUCAUUCACUGUAUUUUCAUUUGGCAUACACCAAAUUUGCUAUUAAUCAAUAGCAAACGGAUAAUGGACUUGCUUGUACUAGCUCUGAUGUGUUUUCUAAAGCAUGAUUGAGAAUUCUGCGGGGCUUUUCUGUUCAGAAAUAAUGAUUAUCCAAAGUUGUCUUUGGCUUUAUCAGCAGUUACAGUUUCUCAGCAGUUUGAGAAACAAACUCUGAAAUAGUUUAAAAAAUAUAUAAAGUACAUAGAUAAUCUUCAUGUCAGAAAAUUCAGUGUAUGGAAAGUUCAAGAGACAUGUUAUCACAUUAUGAUCUGUGGAUUCAAUAUGCAAGUCAGGGUAAAUCUGAAUA
rnacentral:lncRNA from 1 species